GAUGAACGCUAGCGAUAGGCUUAACACAUGCAAGUCGAGGGGCAGCAUGGUCUUAGCUUGCUAAGACUGAUGGCGACCGGCGCACGGGUGCGUAACGCGUAUGCAACUUGCCUCACAGAGGGGGAUAACCCGUCGAAAGACGGACUAAUACCGCGUACACUCUACGUUGGGCAUCCAAUGUAGAGGAAAUGAACUUCGCU
rnacentral:rRNA from 1 species